rnacentral:rRNA from 1 species
AAAUUGAAGAGUUUGAUCAUGGCUCAGAUUGAACGCUGGCGGCAGGCCUAACACAUGCAAGUCGAACGGUAACAGGAAGAAGCUUGCUUCUUUGCUGACGAGUGGCGGACGGGUGAGUAAUGUCUGGGAAACUGCCUGAUGGAGGGGGAUAACUACUGGAAACGGUAGCUAAUACCGCAUAACGUCGCAAGACCAAAGAGGGGGACCUUCGGGCCUCUUGCCAUCGGAUGUGCCCAGAUGGGAUUAGCUAGUAGGUGGGGUAAA